AGAGACUCCUAUUCCCCUCACAGAACUAUAAUACCCAGAGUGGUUUUAUAAUUAAUCCCUCUUCCCAGAGAACUCUGGGGAUUGUGGCUCUGUGAGGGGAAUAGGUGUCUA